AGGGAUGUCCCUCCUGGCUGCCAGGGCACUGCUGACUCAGGGACAACUGGACCUCCAGGGCCCUUUCCUGCCCUGCUUUCCAGCCUCUCAUUCCCAGUCUAUCCAUCCAUCCAGGGUUGCCCCAACCCAGGGGCAGAAUCCGGCACUUCCCCCUGUUGGAGAUGGGAAG